AAAACCACUGAAACGUUAUUCACUUCCUUUAGGCGUUAUUCAAUUAAUAAACACGAAAUCCUAAACUACCGACAUCUAAAAGAUUUGAUCUACUUUCGUCUACCAGAUCUACUUCCUUGUUUUGUCGCUGGAGGUUUGUUAAAAAGGGUAAAGAAAAUCAAUGAAAAAAUGCUGUGGGUUGUCGUUUUUGUUUUUGUUAUAGACACAAAAUGUGUGAUUGCAAAUAGUUUUUCAUAUGAUCAAGCAUAUCAUACAGAACAAAAAGCCUGGAAAGCUGCUUCUGAUGAAUGCGGCAGUACUGGAUUAGAGUUUGAAGAAAACGUGUUGAAGAAUAUUGACGUGCAGUUGGAUAAGGUAUUCUGGAUCGGCUUGGCUAUCUACCGUGUAACUACACCAUGGAUUGAAAUUUUGGGUUGCUUUGCAGUACCAGAUGGGCAGGAAGUAAAGAAAAGUCAUUCAUUGUUAUUAUGUCAGAAACAAUGUGAAUCAUAUCAGUUAUUUGGUUACAGUGAGUCAUCAGCAAUUUGUUCCUGUCUACAUAAUAGAAGUAGCUCAUACAGUAUAAAGAAUUGUAUAGAACAAAAUAAUUCAACAUAUUUCUUCGUUUAUAAAGGUAGAUACAAUUCAUUGUAAAGUACACAUUUUUUCAUCUUAACUUAUUUCAAAGAACAAAUCUUAAAUAUAAUCGUGUUACAAUUAAAGCUACUAGAAGAUGCCCGCGAAAUCGCGGUACAAUUGGUCAAGUGUUGAAACAAAGAGUGUCAAGGGUGCCUGUGUUUACACAUA